GAACAUGGAUCUCAUAUAGCUAGCAUUGAUAAAAAGAUGUUAUCUGUAGACAUUGGGGGUCGUGAAGAUACUAUCAGUGAGUGUUUGUCCUCGGAAGGGCUAUGAUAAAUAUUGAAUAAUCAGACAUAUUGCGAUAAGGUAGUAUGUCUAAAGGGAAACAGCCCAGAACAAUAGUUAAUAAGGUUCCUAAAUUAUUUUUAAGUGAAAUUAAGGGAGUUUUUUUCAGAAGCGGCUAGUAAAUAGGCUUAGAAUCAGCCAUUUUUUGAUGACAUCGUAACAGAGCACUAGUCUGUAAACCAUUUAUACGUUUACAUGUAAAAUGCACCGAAAAUUUAACGGAUCUAAACAAUAUACCGAAACAUUGUCCAUAUUUAUUUAUAUAUCAUAGUUAUAUAUAGUAUUUAUGGGGUAGCGGAACAUUGGGCAAACCUAAGAUUUUUUCUUUAAAAGACUUAAAAAAAGGUAACCCAAGUGAUAAUGCUGACAUGAGUAACGAUAAAGGGAAUUUAAGAAGUAUAAAGCAAAGCUUAUUAUCUUAUUCCCUCGCCUAAAGCUUAUGGUAUUUACUUAAAGUAACGGCCUCUAAGUUUAAAAACUAUGUAUAUUGUACUUAGUCCCCCUAAGGUUUAAACGAUGAGCAAAUCUAGAGAGUUUACUAGCAAAUAACAUUUAUGAAUAACAUUUAUGCAUCUGUUAUAGAUUUAUGCAUCUGUUAUAGAUUUAUAGUAGGUGUAAUAAUAAAAAUGGUGAGAAAUGUUCUGGAAAACUGUGAACUCGGCAUUAAACUGCAGUAUAUAGAUAGGAGGUUAAUUGCCUUAUAUGAGAUUAAUAGCCUUAUAUGAGGUUAAUUGCCUAGCAUGGAAUCUGAAAAACCAAAAUCAUAAUCAGAAAAUGGGACGGGUUUAAUGUCUAUAUCAACCGUACCUAAAUACUACCACAAGUAAGCUAGUAGAGAAUACGAAGGCGUUCGAG
rnacentral:rRNA from 1 species